AAUACGUAGGGGGCGAGCGUUGUCCGGAAUUAUUGGGCGUAAAGAGCGUGUAGGCGGUUCGGUAAGUCUGCCGUGAAAACCCAGGGCUCAACCCUGGGCGUGCGGUGGAUACUGCCGAGCUAGAGGGUGGUAGAGGCGAGUGGAAUUCCCGGUGUAGCGGUGAAAUGCGCAGAUAUCGGGAGCAACACCAGUAGCGAAGGCGGCUCGCUGGGCCAUACCUGACGCUGGGACGCGAAAGCGUGGGGAGCAAACA
rnacentral:rRNA from 1 species